rnacentral:tRNA from 1 species
GUCAGGAUGGCCGAGUGGUCUAAGGCGCUGCGUUCAGGUCGCAGUCCACUUCUUGUGGGCGUGGGUUCGAAUCCCACUUCUGGCA